rnacentral:rRNA from 1 species
GACGAACGCUGGCGGCGUGCUUAACACAUGCAAGUCGAACGGAAAGGCCCUGCUUUUGUGGGGUGCUCGAGUGGCGAACGGGUGAGUAACACGUGAGUAACCUGCCCUUGACUUUGGGAUAACUUCAGGAAACUGGGGCUAAUACCGGAUAGGAGCUCCUGCUGCAUGGUGGGGGUUGGAAAGUUUCGGCGGUUGGGGAUGGACUCGCGGCUUAUCAGCUUGUUGGUGGGGUAGUGGCUUACCAAGGCUUUGACGGGUAGCCGGCCUGAGAGGGUGACCGGCCACAUUGGGACUGAGAUACGGCCCAGACUCCUACGGGAGGCAGCAGUGGGAAAUAUUGCACAAUGGGCGGAAGCCUGAUGCAGCAACGCCGCGUGCGGGAGGACGGCCUUCGGGUUGUAAACCGCUUUCGCCUGUGACGAAGCGUGAGUGACGGUAAUGGGUAAAGAAGCACCGGCUAACUACGUGCCAGCAGCCGCGGUGAUACGUAGGGUGCGAGCGUUGUCCGGAUUUAUUGGGCGUAAAGGGCUCGUAGGUGGUUGAUCGCGUCGGAAGUGUAAUCUUGGGGCUUAACCCUGAGCGUGCUUUCGAUACGGGUUGACUUGAGGAAGGUAGGGGAGAAUGGAAUUCCUGGUGGAGCGGUGGAAUGCGCAGAUAUCAGGAGGAACACCAGUGGCGAAGGCGGUUCUCUGGGCCUUUCCUGACGCUGAGGAGCGAAAGCGUGGGGAGCGAACAGGCUUAGAUACCCUGGUAGUCCACGCUGUAAACGGUGGGUACUAGGUGUGGGGUCCAUUCCACGGGUUCCGUGCCGUAGCUAACGCUUUAAGUACCCCGCCUGGGGAGUACGGCCGCAAGGCUAAAACUCAAAGGAAUUGACGGGGCCCCGCACAAGCGGCGGAGCAUGCGGAUUAAUUCGAUGCAACGCGUAGAACCUUACCUGGGUUUGACAUGGAUCGGGAGCGCUCAGAGAUGGGUGUGCCUCUUUUGGGGUCGGUUCACAGGUGGUGCAUGGCUGUCGUCAGCUCGUGUCGUGAGAUGUUGGGUUAAGUCCCGCAACGAGCGCAACCCUUGUUCACUGUUGCCAGCACGUUAUGGUGGGGACUCAGUGGAGACCGCCGGGGUCAACUCGGAGGAAGGUGGGGAUGACGUCAAGUCAUCAUGCCCCUUAUGUCCAGGGCUUCACGCAUGCUACAAUGGCUGGUACAGAGAGUGGCGAGCCUGUGAGGGUGAGCGAAUCUCGGAAAGCCGGUCUCAGUUCGGAUUGGGGUUUGCAACUCGACCUCAUGAAGUCGGAGUCGCUAGUAAUCGCAGAUCAGCAACGCUGCGGUGAAUACGUUCCCGGGGCU